GGUCCAGACUCCUACGGGAGGCAGCAGUGGGGAAUAUUGCACAAUGGGGGGAACCCUGAUGCAGCAAUGCCGCGUGAAGGAUGAAGGUUUUCGGAUUGUAAACUUCUUUUGUACGGGACGAAGAAAGUGACGGUACCGUAAGAAUAAGCCACGGCUAACUACGUGCCAGCAGCCGCGGUAAUACGUAGGUGGCAAGCGUUAUCCGGAUUUACUGGGUGUAAAGGGGGCGCAGACGGCGAUGCAAGCCAGGAGUGAAAACCAUGGGCUCAACCUGUGGCCUGCAUUUGAAACUGUGUUUCUUGAGUACUGGAGAGGCAGACGGAAUUCCUAGUGUAGCGGUGAAAUGCGUAGAUAUUAGGAGGAACACCAGUGGCGAAGGCGGUCUGCUGGACAGCAACUGACGCUGAGGCGCGAAAGCGUGGGGAGCAAACAGGAUUAGAUACCCUAGUA
rnacentral:rRNA from 1 species